AUUGAACGCUGGCGGCGUGCUUAACACAUGCAAGUCGAUCGGUAACAGGUGUAGCAAUACAUGCUGACGAGAGGCGGACGGGUGAGUAAUGCUUGGGAAUCUGCCUAUUAGUGGGGGACAACCCGGGGAAACUCGGGCUAAUACCGCAUACGCUCUACGGAGGAAAGCCGGGGACCGCAAGGCCUGGCGCUAAUAGAUGAGCCCAAGUCGGAUUAGCUAGUUGGUAGGUAACGGCCUACCAAGGCGACAAUCCGUAGCUGGUCUGAGAGGACGACCAGCCACACCGGAACUGAGACACGGUCCGGACUCCUACGGGAGGCAGCAGUGGGGAAUAUUGGACAAUGGGGCAACCCUGAUCCAGCGACGCCGCGUGGGUGAAGAAGGCC
rnacentral:rRNA from 1 species